rnacentral:rRNA from 1 species
GAUGAACGCUGGCGGCGUGCCUAAUACAUGCAAGUCGAGCGAACAGACGAGGAGCUUGCUCCUCUGACGUUAGCGGCGGACGGGUGAGUAACACGUGGAUAACCUACCUAUAAGACUGGGAUAACUUCGGGAAACCGGAGCUAAUACCGGAUAAUAUAUUGAACCGCAUGGUUCAAUAGUGAAAGACGGUUUUGCUGUCACUUAUAGAUGGAUCCGCGCCGCAUUAGCUAGUUGGUAAGGUAACGGCUUACCAAGGCGACGAUGCGUAGCCGACCUGAGAGGGUGAUCGGCCACACUGGAACUGAGACACGGUCCAGACUCCUACGGGAGGCAGCAGUAGGGAAUCUUCCGCAAUGGGCGAAAGCCUGACGGAGCAACGCCGCGUGAGUGAUGAAGGUCUUCGGAUCGUAAAACUCUGUUAUUAGGGAAGAACAAAUGUGUAAGUAACUAUGCACGUCUUGACAGUACCUAAUCAGAAAGCCACGGCUAACUACGUG